rnacentral:rRNA from 1 species
AAAGAUGAAAAGGACUUUGAAAAGAGAGUCAAAGAGUGCUUGAAAUUCUCGGGAGGGAAGCGGAUGGGGGCUGACGAUGUGCCUCGGUCAGAUGUGGAAUAGCGAGAGCCGGUCCACCAAUCGACUCGAGGCAUGGACCGACGCGAAUUGUGAUGGUGGCCCAAGCCCAGGCUGUUGACAUGCUCGUGAAGACGUCCUCAUCGCGAUUGUCGUUGGAAACAUGCACCGUUUGGUGUGCUUCGGCACCUACGGGCUCCCCAUUCGGCCCGUCUUGAAACACGG